UCUUACCUACGGGGGGCAGCAGUGGGGAAUAUUGGGCAAUGGGCGCAAGCCUGACCCAGCAACGCCGCGUGAAGGAAGAAGGCUUUCGGGUUGUAAACUUCUUUUCUCAGGGACGAAGAAAGUGACGGUACCUGAGGAAUAAGCCACGGCUAACUACGUGCCAGCAGCCGCGGUAAUACGUAGGUGGCAAGCGUUAUCCGGAUUUACUGGGUGUAAAGGGAGCGUAGGCGGAAAGGCAAGUCAGAAGUGAAAGCCCAAGGCUCAACCAUGGGACUGCUUUUGAAACUGUCAAACUAGAGUACUGG
rnacentral:rRNA from 1 species